UGGUGGAGUGAUUUGUCUGGUUAAUUCCGUUAACGAACGAGACCCCUGCCUGCUAAAUAGUUCCACGGAUGAAUAUUUCAUCGGCGAGAGCUUCUUAGAGGGACAUCCGUCUACUAGGCGGAGGAAGAUAGGGGCAAUAACA
rnacentral:rRNA from 1 species